rnacentral:rRNA from 1 species
ACGCCCUAAACUAUGGAUACUCGACAUAUGCGAUACACUGUAUGUGUCUGAACGAAAGCAUUAAGUAUCCCACCUGGGAAGUACGUUCGCAAGAAUGAAACUCAAAGGAAUUGGCGGGGGUCCGCACAAGCGGUGGAGUAUGUGGUUUAAUUCGAUGAUACGCGAGGAACCUUACCUGGGCUAGAGUGCUGGGAGACCGCUAGUGAAAGCUAGUUUUGUAGCAAUACACUGCCAGUAAGGUGCUGCAUGGCCGUCGUCAGCUCGUGCCGUGAGGUGUUGGGUUAAGUCCCGCAACGAGCGCAACCCCUAUCUUUAGUUGCCAACAGGUAAUGCUGGGAACUCUAAAGAAACUGCCGCCGUAAGGUGUGAGGAAGGAGGGGAUGAUGUCAGGUCAUCAUGGCCUUUAUGCCCAGGGCUACACACGUACUACAAUGGGGGAGACAAAGGGCUGCAACAUAGCGAUAUGAAGCCAAUCCCAAAAACUCCCUCUCAGUUCAGAUUGCAGGCUGCAACUCGCCUGCAUGAAGCUGGAAUCGCUAGUAAUCGUAUAUCAGCAAUGAUACGGUGAAUACGUUCCCGGACCUUGCACACACCGCCCGUCAACCAUGGGAGUCGGGUGUACCA